rnacentral:tRNA from 1 species
GGCCCGUUGGUCCUAGGGGUAUGAUUCUCGCUUUGGGUGCGAGAGGUCCCGGGUUCAAAUCCCGGACGGGCCC